CAGGAUCCAGGGGAGAGGGGCACGCGCAUCUGGACUCCAUCCACAAAAGUCUGACUAAGACAUUUGAGGCGCGUGGGCGUCGAGAUGACCACUGUGGACCUGGCUGUCGGCCGCGGCUCCUGGAAUAGACCCGGCCUGUACCCUCACCGACACGCCUUCUGCGAUCACAUGAACCCUCCUCCUGGACCCUCACCAGACCCUCCUCCCGGACCCUCCACGGACCCUGGUACCACAUGAAGGAAUGUCACUUAAGUUUCCUAUUUUGGGGGUGUUCGCCACCCCUCCCGCAGCCUCCCGUGUUCUCUGUUACACCCUCUCCGGUGUCCCUCUCUCUCCCCCCUUGACCUCACUGCCAUUCUCCUCCCCAGCAGCAGGGUGCAGGUGCUCCCACUCCGCCCAAGGCUCCUCCACAUCCUGUCUCUCCAGAGCCCAAGCGGCCGUGUCCCCGGCAGGGACCUGCUUGUCCUCGGCUGGAGCAGUGUGGGUCCUCUCGGUACUUCCUCUGUCCUCCCCCAGCAGCUUCUCGCUGGCAGGUUACACGUGACCACAUCGUUUCAUCUGCAGAACUACAGAGACUUGUCCCCAUCCCCCUCUCUUCACAGACACGCUUCUGGCCGUCUUCCCCUCCUUCAUGGCCCUCUAUCCUCCGUCUGGCUCAGCCCUCCUGGAAUCAGCCUCCCUGUGGGAAGCCACUGGUCCCCGGACCCCAGUAUCACUGGACGUAGUAAGUCCUUGGACACGUCCUGCCCCACUCUCGCUCUCCCUGCUGGUGCUGUUCAGACUGCUGGGUCUGCAGGAGGGAAGGUCCCCAUCCCCGUGUCUCUCUCAUCACCUGAACUUCCAGUAUUUCCUGUGGUCUUUCUCUCUCCCUGGACAGUCUGGCCCACGUCCCGGCCUCGGCCAGCCCACAUGCAGACGCUGCCAGGCUUGUCUCUAGGACGAUCUCUCUGGAGCGCUGCACGCCCGUCUGCACCCGGCUUCCCGGUCCCCAGGACAGGUGUCCCCUUUGCCGCUCAAAGCCGUGUUCUCCUGGAGCAGGACCUGCGUCUCCCCCCAGACUCCCUCUGCGCACCUGAGAUCCCCGGUUUGGGCCUUUGCCACCAGGUCACUCAAGGGGAAACCCCGGGAACCCACUCUCCAGCCUCAGCUUCAUCCUGCAGUCCCAUGAACUGUGAUAGCUGAGUACCCCGCAGUCGUGUCCCGCCUACCGGCUGCCUGCCUUCAGGUUGCCUUCUCGCCGCUGGAUGGUCGCACUGAUCUCUGGUUGGUGGUCCUACAAACGUCCGCCCGGACCGGUCACAUCAGCGCCCCCUGUACCACGUGUCCAGCUUACAAGAGUGCCCAAGUGGUGAGACUUCAAGAGGCAACGCUCUCGUAGAGCGUUUGCUUUAUUAGCUACACACGUAAAAAUGGGCAAAUCACAGCUUGUCACCGUCUCGAUUCCCUUUUGCAUCUUCCUGAAAAUCCUGCCGGGUUCCAGACUGAAGUGAUUCGAGGCACCCGUGUUCCUCGGCCAGGUUUUGCUCCCUGCUUCCAUCUGUGUUUCCAAGGUCUUACCUGCCGACUAUUCGUACGGAGAUGGAGGCAACAGAUCUUUUGUUCUUUAUCCGCUGACAAGGAUCUCUGUGUGUCCAACAUGCAAGUCCCUUUUAUGACCUCUGCCGCCUCCGGGAAGCAUCUCAUGAUAUGUUUACCACUUUAUUGAAGAAAAGGGCAACUCUGCACAACUCUUUUAAACUCUGGGAAGAGCUUAGCCCUGAGAUAAAAAAUAACAACGUCUGAAAAUUGCGGUGGAAGCGAGAUGGGGCCCCUGCCCGUGUGGCAGGUGCCGGGGACCCCCGAGCCAUUGGCAGGGGUGGGGCCUCAGCUCCCACAGGGACACACGUGCUUUGGCCUUCAGCCUUUGCAACCUUUGCUCCCAGGGUCACGGCAGGCCGUGGGGCUCUGACUCCUGUUAGCCGAGGGGCUCUGAAAACCUAAUUCCCAGACCAGUGACCUCAGACCCCCAGGGGCUGGGGUGACGGGGGCCUCAGAACUUCCUGAAGACCCCCAGGGAUUGUGGCAUGCAGCUGAGGUAGAGAGCCAUGAUUUAAACUGUCCCUUCACAGAAAAUAGUUCCUGAUGACGUGAUUCUCCUGCUGGUGAAUAAUCUCUCCUGACAGAAAUGGCACACUGGGUGACUUGGGGAGCUGCCACUCUACUGGCCGCAAGCGGCAAAGAGAGGAGAGCAUGAGUGGGAGAGGAGCAGAAGGCGAAAGAGAAUCUUCAGGAGGCUUCAUGUCCAGCAAGGAGCCCACCCAACACAGGGCUCGAUCUCACGACCUGGGAUCAUGACCUGAGCUACAAUCAAGACUUGAACACUCAGCCGACUGAGCCUCCCAGUGCAGUGACUCAUGGGAGAGGCACAGCCUUGCUGUGGGUCUUAUCAAGGAGGACCCUGAUUCUCACAAACUACUAGUCCAAGGAAGCAACAGGAAACAAGAACAGAGCUGUGGGCGCCAUGCUGUGGUAACAGAAGAAGGCAGUUUCUCUGGAGCCACGCUGCCCUCUGUGGGGCCGAGGCAACCAGCGGAACCACAAGCAAAGAUUCGCCAAUAGGAACUUGUGUGCGGGGCUGCUGUUGGUGCGAUGACGUAAGUUAUAAUGAUGUUGCUAAGGUUUUUUACAAUGUGUGCAAAAUUGGGAUAAAUGAUGGGCACACGUUGGAAAUGUUGUGGAUCUGGUUCCAGUCCAUUGGGAUAAAGUGAAUAUUGAAAUAAAGAGAGUCAAGUGAACUUUUUGCUUUCCUGGUGCACGUAAAGUUAUGUUUACACCGUACUGUAGUCUGUGAAA